AUUUCAGUGUCAAACACUGAAGAUGCAAUGAUAACACCUGGCUAUCCUGCUCAGGUAGCUCACAAUCUGAAGGGUAGAUGGUGGUGGGAGCAGAGCAGUUAACAGAUAAAAUGAAAAGUAGUAAGUGGAGCUCUUAUUUGUUGCUGGUGGGAAUGCAAAAUGGUACAGCCACUUCAGAAGACAGUUUGGAAGUUUCUGGCAAAACUAAGUAUACUCUUACCAUAAGAUCCAGCAAGCAUGCUCCUUGGUAUUUAUCCAAAGGAGCCGAAAACUUACAUCCACACAAAAACUUCCACUCAGACAUUUCCAGUAGCUUUGUUCAUAACUGCCAAAACAUGAAAGCAACCAGGAUGUCUUUCAAUAGGUGAAUGGAUAAACAAACUGUGGUACAUACAUGCAGUGGAAUAUUAUUCAGCACUAAAAGCAAAUGAGCUAUAGAAAAGAUGUGGGGGUAGAUGCUAAUUUGACUCCUUAACUUAACUAUCUGACCUUGAACUAGUUACUUAGUCUCUAGACCUCAAUUUCCUCAUCUGCAGAAUGUGAAUAAUGAGUGUUCUUGUGCAAAUUAAAUGAGAUAUGUAUUUAUACUAGAUAUUGUCAUUUUUUCCUUCAGAUCCACUGUCCACCUGCUACUCCUUGGUCUCCCUCCCAAGGAGGCUGACCUGCAUGGACCACUAGAGGCUCCCUUGUCCUUUGCUUUUUUUUUUGGUUUAGCCAAUAGGGUGCCCAGACAGAAGAUGAGAGGGAGGGCUGAGAGUGAGGCUGGGGAUUUAUUCUGAAUGCUUGCCCUGCAGCAUUGCCUUAGGCUGUCACUAUUCCUCCCCAGAAGCUUUCUAGGAGACUCUCCUUCUGUGUUCUGGAAAACUACUCCCUACCCUCUUCCCUUCAGGCUUAAGGACAGGUAACAGCCCUGCCAUUACUAGCUCCAGGGCAGAGCAUCAUCUCUACAACCUGCCACAUCUUUGCAAAUAAUCCCUUUAUUAAACUUUCCUAAGAAAAUCCCAAUUU
rnacentral:lncRNA from 10 species